rnacentral:tRNA from 1 species
GCCUCAUAGUUUAUACAAAAUAUUAAGUUGUGGUCUUAAAGAGGUAGUUCUUUAAUAAC